rnacentral:rRNA from 1 species
UACAGAGGCCCCAAGCGUUACUGAGAAUCACUGGGUUUAAAGGGUGCGUAGGUGGCGCGUUAAGUCCGUUGUGAAAUCCCUUGGCUCAACCAAGGAAAUGCUUCGGAUACUGGCGUGCUUGAGGCUAGUAUGGGUCACUGGAACUGACGGUGGAGCGGUGAAAUGCGUAGAUAUCGUCAGGAACGCCAAUGGUGAAGACAGGUGACUGGGCUAGUUCUGACACUGAGGCACGAAAGCGUGGGGAGCGAACGGG